GCCUGACUUAGCAGCUCCCAUGUAAUUGCAGAGUUAUAAUGCUCAUUUGGAAGCAGCAGCCGCCUCUGCUCCACUCUUCGUCUUGCUCACACUCCAUGCUGCCAAAUGGAAACUAAGGUGUUCAGGGAAUGGGGCAUACUUCCACAAAUUCCAUUUUAAAAUGGAUUGAUCAAGAAGUCCUUCCUCGGGUUAACCCUUACAUGGUGUUAAGAAGAAUUUCACCAAGUGGAUCUCAUUAUUGCAGACCCAUUGAGAUUGGAAGCUUCCUUCCACAAAGGAGCAAUGCACUGUUAUGUGAAGACUGGUGGAUCUCUAGUCGGCUGCAGCUGAGAUACAGAAAGCAUGGAAUUUCUAAGUUACUAUAAGACUCUGGGGAGCCUUAGCUUACCGGGGACCCCCUGAGUGAACCAUGUGGAGCUGGGAUAGAGGCAAAAAGCAAGAGGAAUUAUAUUGUUCCAGUGCACUGGGUUCAUCCCAGACCUGAAGGAGAGGCAGUGACCACCAGCACCAUUUGGGAAUCCUGGGUAUGAAAUACUAUGUUGACUUUAAGAUUCAGAACAGUUUCCAAAGGUCAACAGGAGGGAUUUAUUGGCCUGAAAAAAAAAAUGUCCAGAGUCACCUCAUUGUUGUUGGAAACUGCAAAAUUUUCCUUCCCUUUGACUCCAACAGAGCCAUUGUUCCCAGCUCAUACCCAAGGGCUUCCUCUGACAAAGUGAACCUUUCCCUGAGCAACCCUUUGUUCUUUGUUUCCUGGUUGGUUCUCUCUAACGAUCUCAGGCUAAAUACUGCAGAGAACGCUGUAAAGAGAGCAACGGUGGAGGCAGUAGCUGACCUAAGUAAGCACGGAGGCUGUUAGUGCUUUGAUCCUCUGAUCUGGUGAGCUCUUUGAUGGAUGCAGUCCACUGUGGUGAGGGUCAAACUUUGUUUCCCAGUUGCUGCUGCAGCAGGGCUUUGCCCAGCAGCCACACAGGGGUAAGAUCCAACUGAAGCUGGAGCAGAGGAGGGAAGCCAGCAGGGAGCCAGCUUGCACAGAAGCCUUCACUGUGGGCUGGGAUGCUGUGACCCAGAAGGCCGCUAAGCAGAGCUCCCCUACAGAAGCCCAAGUGACUCCACAGGCAAGGAAAAGGCUCGGCAUCUGUGAGCUGCCUCCUGAGUUUUUCUAUCGCGCUAUAGGAACAGCUGUACCAGUCUUCAGCAGCGCUGUAAACCUGUCAUCAGCACCACAUUGUUUACAUAUGGCUACAAGGUCUUUAUGCCCAGGAUCCCUUAGCUCUACAGCGGGGGACAGAUAUUUACAUGACAGCUGUGUCAAUUGGAAGCAGCCUCUGUAAGCUUGUUUGCUUCACCAAAGCAACACUCACCGCCUACCACCCCUCCCCCACCACCCCUAAGACGCGAAUCUCUGUCUUCUCCCUUUUCUAAAUGAGCAUUGUGUUAAUAAUAGAACCGCACUGCAGAUGCUCAGAAUGGAAAUAGCUGGCAUUUCCCUAACAAGACUCAUAAUUCUGCUAGAAAUAAUGGAUUUCAAGUGAAAUAGCUCGCGUCCAAGAAGAGUGGUUAUAAUUCAUGGCCAGACAUCCAAAUGGAAUCAAAAUCCGGGAAACAUGCAAAGUGCUAAUUUUCUACAUCAUUGGAAUUUAUCAAGUCCAUACUGAUUAAUUCCAACAGUGAUUUGGUUGUUCAAUCGAUAGAGCUUUGUUUGUUUCCCAAAGACAUCUGAAUGACAUUGAUUUAAAUAUUCCAACUUCCUGCUUUUCUUAAAAAAAAAAAACUUUAAAAUUGUAAAUCAAACCCCGCUGCAUCAGUGGCUGAUGCUAACUAAAUAUUUUUAUUUUUUUUCUGUAUCAUUUGAGGCAAGACUCCUAUUUAUUUCAUCAAUGUGGUAAAUAGCAAUAUUUUGGAGAGGAACUAUUUAUUUUAAUGCAGAUCUCAACGAAGUGAGGAAAAAAUUCAUUUCUAUUGCUUUGGUGUAUUUACUACUAGUUUUCCUAAGAACAUACUUCAAUGUCAUAAUAACUAUUUACAAUUAGCAUGGUUGGAAAAUAAACCACUCCUAAAAUGCUCAGGAACAGUUCAACGCCCAUAAGAUUCUUGUUGUGGGUUGGACGUAUUUUCUAAACUUAAUGUGUUGGAAACUGGAUCACAAAUGUAGCUCCAGACUUCAGAGGAGGUGUUUAUAAAGGUCGUAAGAAACCCCCUCGUGAAUAAAUUAAUACUACACUUGCAAGAGUCCAUUUAUUUUCUUGGAUGUAGGAUUCUUAUAAAAGAAACGAUAGGACCCACCCUUGGACUUUGUGGAUCAGCAAGCCUUUCUUCCAUCUUCCUUUUGCCAUGGGGUAAUAAAGCAGAAAAGCCCGUGA
rnacentral:lncRNA from 1 species